UUUAAGCACAACCAUAAAUUUCCGUGCCCAACUUUGAUUAUCCGUCUUAUUUGAAAUAGUUUUAUAAUUAGUAUUUAUUAUUAUGAGAUGAUAAAAUAUGAAUAGUAACUUAUGUUUUUAAAAUUUUUUAAAAAGUUUUUAAAUAAAAUGAACAGUUAAAGUUGUAAACGAAAAAUCAGAGUGCACUUAAA
rfam:Oryza meridionalis cultivar OR44 (W2112) chromosome 5, whole genome shotgun sequence.